rnacentral:rRNA from 1 species
CGUAGGGUGCGAGCGUUGUCCGGAAUUACUGGGCGUAAAGAGCUCGUAGGUGGUUUGUCGCGUUGUUCGUGAAAACCGGGGGCUUAACCCUCGGCGUGCGGGCGAUACGGGCAGACUUGAGUACUGCAGGGGAGACUGGAAUUCCUGGUGUAGCGGUGGAAUGCGCAGAUAUCAGGAGGAACACCGGUGGCGAAGGCGGGUCUCUGGGCAGUAACUGACGCUGAGGAGCGAAAGCGUGGGGAGCGAACAGG